CCUACGGGUGGCAGCAGUCGAGAAUCAUUCACAAUGGGGGAAACCCUGAUGGUGCGACGCCGCGUGGGGGAAUGAAGGUCUUCGGAUUGUAAACCCCUGUCAUGUGGGAGCAAAUUAAAAAGAUAGUACCACAAGAGGAAGAGACGGCUAACUCUGUGCCAGCAGCCGCGGUAAUACGGAGGUCUCAAGCGUUGUUCGGAAUCACUUGGCGUAAAGCGUGCGUAGGCUGUUUCGUAAGUCGUGUGUGAAAGGCGCGGGCUCAACCCGCGGACGGAACAGGAGACUUGGAGACUAGAGUAAAGGAGGGGAAACCGGAAUUCCCGGGGUAUCAGUGAAAUGCGUAGAGAUCGAGAGGAACACGCGUGGCGAAGGCGGGUUCCUGGACAUUAACUGACGCUGAGGCACGAAGGCCAGGGGAGCGAAAGGGAUUAGAUACCCUAGUAGUC
rnacentral:rRNA from 1 species